rnacentral:rRNA from 1 species
CCUACGGGAGGCAGCAGUGAGGAAUAUUGGUCAAUGGGCGCGAGCCUGAACCAGCCAAGUCGCGUGGAGGAUGACUGCCCUACGGGUUGUAAACUUCUUUUAUAAAGGCAUAAAGUGAGGCACGUGUGCCUUUUUGUAUAUACUUUAUGAAUAAGGAUCGGCUAACUCCGUGCCAGCAGCCGCGGUAAUACGGAGGAUCCGAGCGUUAUCCGGAUUUAUUGGGUUUAAAGGGAGCGUAGAUGGGUUGUUAAGCAAGUUGUGAAAGUUUUCGGCUCAACCGUAAAAUUGCAAUUGAUACUGGCAGUCAUGAGUACAGGUGAGGUAGGAGGAAUUCGUGGUGUAGCGGUGAAGUGCAUAGAUAUCACGAAGAACGCCGAUUGCGAAGGCAGCUUACUAAACUGCCACUGACAUUGAUGCUCGAAAGUGUGGGUAUCAAACAGGAUUAGAUACCCUAGUAGUC